rnacentral:tRNA from 1 species
GCCAAAGUAGCUCAGUCGGCUAGAGCGCGGCUUUCGUAAAGCCGAGGUCGAGAGUUCGAUUCUCUCCUUUGGCUCAA